GGCGAUGUAGCUCAGCGGUUAGAGCGGUGGCUUCAUAAGCCAUAGGUCGAAGGUUCAAUUCCUUCCAUCGCUACCA
rnacentral:tRNA from 1 species